UUAAGCGACUAAGCGUACACGGUGGAUGCCCUGGCAGUCAGAGGCGAUGAAGGACGUGCUAAUCUGCGAUAAGCGUCGGUAAGGUGAUAUGAACCGUUAUAACCGGCGAUUUCCGAAUGGGGAAACCCAGUGUGAUUUGUCACACUAUCAUUAACUGAAUCCAUAGGUUAAUGAGGCGAACCGGGGGAACUGAAACAUCUAAGUACCCCGAGGAAAAGAAAUCAACCGAGAUUCCCCCAGUAGCGGCGAGCGAACGGGGAGGAGCCCAGAGCCUGAAUCAGUGUGUGUGUUAGUGGAAGCGUCUGGAAAGGCGCGCGAUACAGGGUGACAGCCCCGUACACAAAAAUGCACAUGCUGUGAGCUCGAUGAGUAGGGCGGGACACGUGGUAUCCUGUCUGAAUAUGGGGGGACCAUCCUCCAAGGCUAAAUACUCCUGACUGACCGAUAGUGAACCAGUACCGUGAGGGAAAGGCGAAAAGAACCCCGGCGAGGGGAGUGAAAAAGAACCUGAAACCGUGUACGUACAAGCAGUGGGAGCACGCUUCGGCGUGUGACUGCGUACCUUUUGUAUAAUGGGUCAGCGACUUAUAUUCUGUAGCAAGGUUAACCGAAUAGGGGAGCCGAAGGGAAACCGAGUCUUAACUGGGCGUUAAGUUGCAGGGUAUAGACCCGAAACCCGGUGAUCUAGCCAUGGGCAGGUUGAAGGUUGGGUAACACUAACUGGAGGACCGAACCGACUAAUGUUGAAAAAUUAGCGGAUGACUUGUGGCUGGGGGUGAAAGGCCAAUCAAACCGGGAGAUAGCUGGUUCUCCCCGAAAGCUAUUUAGGUAGCGCCUCGUGAAUUCAUCUCCGGGGGUAGAGCACUGUUUCGGCAAGGGGGUCAUCCCGACUUACCAACCCGAUGCAAACUGCGAAUACCGGAGAAUGUUAUCACGGGAGACACACGGCGGGUGCUAACGUCCGUCGUGAAGAGGGAAACAACCCAGACCGCCAGCUAAGGUCCCAAAGUCAUGGUUAAGUGGGAAACGAUGUGGGAAGGCCCAGACAGCCAGGAUGUUGGCUUAGAAGCAGCCAUCAUUUAAAGAAAGCGUAAUAGCUCACUGGUCGAGUCGGCCUGCGCGGAAGAUGUAACGGGGCUAAACCAUGCACCGAAGCUGCGGCAGCGACACUAUGUGUUGUUGGGUAGGGGAGCGUUCUGUAAGCCUGUGAAGGUGGCCUGUGAGGGUUGCUGGAGGUAUCAGAAGUGCGAAUGCUGACAUAAGUAACGAUAAAGCGGGUGAAAAGCCCGCUCGCCGGAAGACCAAGGGUUCCUGUCCAACGUUAAUCGGGGCAGGGUGAGUCGACCCCUAAGGCGAGGCCGAAAGGCGUAGUCGAUGGGAAACAGGUUAAUAUUCCUGUACUUGGUGUUACUGCGAAGGGGGGACGGAGAAGGCUAUGUUGGCCGGGCGACGGUUGUCCCGGUUUAAGCGUGUAGGCUGAUUUUCCAGGCAAAUCCGGAAAAUCAAGGCUGAGGCGUGAUGACGAGGCACUACGGUGCUGAAGCAACAAAUGCCCUGCUUCCAGGAAAAGCCUCUAAGCAUCAGGUAACAUCAAAUCGUACCCCAAACCGACACAGGUGGUCAGGUAGAGAAUACCAAGGCGCUUGAGAGAACUCGGGUGAAGGAACUAGGCAAAAUGGUGCCGUAACUUCGGGAGAAGGCACGCUGAUAUGUAGGUGAAGCGACUUGCUCGUGGAGCUGAAAUCAGUCGAAGAUACCAGCUGGCUGCAACUGUUUAUUAAAAACACAGCACUGUGCAAACACGAAAGUGGACGUAUACGGUGUGACGCCUGCCCGGUGCCGGAAGGUUAAUUGAUGGGGUUAGCGGUAACGCGAAGCUCUUGAUCGAAGCCCCGGUAAACGGCGGCCGUAACUAUAACGGUCCUAAGGUAGCGAAAUUCCUUGUCGGGUAAGUUCCGACCUGCACGAAUGGCGUAAUGAUGGCCAGGCUGUCUCCACCCGAGACUCAGUGAAAUUGAACUCGCUGUGAAGAUGCAGUGUACCCGCGGCAAGACGGAAAGACCCCGUGAACCUUUACUAUAGCUUGACACUGAACAUUGAGCCUUGAUGUGUAGGAUAGGUGGGAGGCUUUGAAGUGUGGACGCCAGUCUGCAUGGAGCCGACCUUGAAAUACCACCCUUUAAUGUUUGAUGUUCUAACGUUGACCCGUGAUCCGGGUUGCGGACAGUGUCUGGUGGGUAGUUUGACUGGGGCGGUCUCCUCCUAAAGAGUAACGGAGGAGCACGAAGGUUGGCUAAUCCUGGUCGGACAUCAGGAGGUUAGUGCAAUGGCAUAAGCCAGCUUGACUGCGAGCGUGACGGCGCGAGCAGGUGCGAAAGCAGGUCAUAGUGAUCCGGUGGUUCUGAAUGGAAGGGCCAUCGCUCAACGGAUAAAAGGUACUCCGGGGAUAACAGGCUGAUACCGCCCAAGAGUUCAUAUCGACGGCGGUGUUUGGCACCUCGAUGUCGGCUCAUCACAUCCUGGGGCUGAAGUAGGUCCCAAGGGUAUGGCUGUUCGCCAUUUAAAGUGGUACGCGAGCUGGGUUUAGAACGUCGUGAGACAGUUCGGUCCCUAUCUGCCGUGGGCGCUGGAGAACUGAGGGGGGCUGCUCCUAGUACGAGAGGACCGGAGUGGACGCAUCACUGGUGUUCGGGUUGUCAUGCCAAUGGCACUGCCCGGUAGCUAAAUGCGGAAGAGAUAAGUGCUGAAAGCAUCUAAGCACGAAACUUGCCCCGAGAUGAGUUCUCCCUGACUCCUUGAGAGUCCUGAAGGAACGUUGAAGACGACGACGUUGAUAGGCCGGGUGUGUAAGCGCAGCGAUGCGUUGAGCUAACCGGUACUAAUGAACCGUGAGGCUUAACCUU
rnacentral:rRNA from 1 species